CGUAGGUGGCAAGCGUUGUCCGGAUUUAUUGGGUUUAAAGGGUGCGUAGGCGGCCCUGUAAGUCAGUGCUGAAAUACCCCGGCUUAACCGGGGGGGUGGCAUUGAUACUGCAGGGCUUGAGUACAGAUGAGGUAGGCGGAAUUGACGGUGUAGCGGUGAAAUGCAUAGAUAUCGUCAAGAACACCGAUAGCGAAGGCAGCUUACUGGGCUGUAACUGACGCUGAUGCACGAAAGUGUGGGGAUCAAACAGG
rnacentral:rRNA from 1 species